rnacentral:sRNA from 1 species
UUGAAAGCUGUGGGGACUUGAAAUCUUGUAUUUUUCCACAGAAAAAACACAUCUUGGGAAGAAGUAACGCACGCUUCCCAGCAUUACUCUGCAAGGGUAACCCUGACCUAGAGAAACCACCUCUACAGCUGACAGGGUAGAGCAGUCUCCAUGUGUAUUCAGUUCUUGGCUCUC